ACAUUGAACAUGAACUCUCUCAUUACAUAUGUGCUAAUUGAAACAUUUAUGAAACGACGGGUGGCAGAGAGGACAGAGGUUGUGUCCAUGCUCAGUGCUCUAAUCUGUGAUCAUCUGAAUGACUAGUAGCCUAACU
rnacentral:snoRNA from 1 species